AGUAACACGUGGGUAACCUGCCCAGAAGCAGGGGAUAACACCUGGAAACAGAUGCUAAUACCGUAUAACAGAGAAAACCGCCUGGUUUUCUUUUAAAAGAUGGCUCUGCUAUCACUUCUGGAUGGACCCGCGGCGCAUUAGCUAGUUGGUGAGGUAACGGCUCACCAAGGCGAUGAUGCGUAGCCGACCUGAGAGGGUAAUCGGCCACAUUGGGACUGAGACACGGCCCAGACUCCUACGGGAGGCAGCAGUAGGGAAUCUUCCACAAUGGACGCAAGUCUGAUGGAGCAACGCCGCGUGAGUGAAGAAGGGUUUCGGCUCGUAAAGCUCUGUUGUUAAAGAAGAACGUGGGUGAGAGUAACUGUUCACCCAGUGACGGUAUUUAACCAGAAAGCCACGGCUAACUACGUGCCAGCAGCCGCGGUAAUACGUAGGUGGCAAGCGUUAUCCGGAUUUAUUGGGCGUAAAGCGAGCGCAGGCGGUCUUUUAAGUCUAAUGUGAAAGCCUUCGGCUCAACCGAAGAAGUGCAUUGGAGACUGGGAGACUUGAGUGCAGAAGAGGACAGUGGAACUCCAUGUGUAGCGGUGAAAUGCGUAGAUAUAUGGAAGAACACCAGUGGCGAAGGCGGCUGUCUGGUCUGUAACUGACGCUGAGGCUCGAAAGCAUGGGUAGCGAACAGGAUUAGAUACCCUGGUAGUCCAUGCCGUAAACGAUGAUUACUAAGUGUUGGAGGGUUUCCGCCCUUCAGUGCUGCAGCUAACGCAUUA
rnacentral:rRNA from 1 species